GACGGAUCUCUACGCCCUUCUCAGCUUCCGGGUUGACUUAACGCCGCAGAUUGUGAUGAAAACGAGCCGUCCGGGGAGGGCAACUGAAUUAUCAUUUUCACUGCUUGACCCUCUAGGAGAAAAGAAGUUCUUGUGCAAUUUUAACAUGGAAGAAGAGCAGAUUAUUGACAAAGAUUCUGUUUCCUUCUUGCUGAUCCAGAAAGAUAGCGAGGCAGGAAAUUCAAAAAUACCAGAACAACAACAUUACUUACCAGUACUUGCAAUUGGCUCUUUCAUUGAUAACAAUUAUAAUAAUUAUUAUUAUUGCA